GAAACCAAAAACAACGAAAGCCCUUCCUCUCUUCCAUCCUUGCGGCUCCGAUGACCGCGCCAGUGUGAAUCAGAUAUCAAAAACGCAA
rnacentral:sRNA from 1 species